UUCAUUGUGUCCGCCAUCUAAAUAAUCGUCAACAUUAAAAUUUAAUUUUAUAGAUUUAGCAGCUGCUGGAUAUUUUUCCGCAUUUUCAUGAGCUAUUUGUUGCAGUGCUCUAAUUGCUAAAAAACUAGAAGACUUACUCCCGUAGGUAACUGUCAAUAGUUCGUAACAUUUUAAUUUUUCUGUUUCAGAAUUCCGCCAGAAAAUUCUUUGAAAUUUAGUUUGACUGUGGUGAAGCCAUACCUGUCUGCACAUUUUGGAAAUGUCUGCCGUUAUAACGUAGGUCAUUCAAAGAAAUAUUAUUGUCUGAUUUUGCUGAGAAGUCAAACACAACUCUGCAUGGGGUGGUAUCACUAUCCUUUAAAACUGGAUGAUGUGGAACAUAAUAUGCUGAACCAUCAUCUUCGAGAUCAUUGAUAUCAACCUCUAAUUCCCUAAGGUGUCCUAAUCGAAUUCACUAAUCUCGUCCAUUGUGGGUAAUUCACCUUUCAGGUUUAAACCUUCCCAGUCCCUCCUGGUCCUGUUAUCGAACUUUGAGACAAUUAAAUGUAUAAGAAGUGUAUCCCACUCCUUCACUGGUUGACCAAGAUUUUCUAAAGAUCGCAAAUUCUUAGUGAAUGAAUCAUAAAGAUUUUUUGAAUCGGAACUGAUUUUAGAUAAUAAAACUUUUGAAUUUCAUCAACUUGCUUAUUGUCAUGAACUAAUGAAAUGAAUAAAUCUCUGAAUUCAAGCCAUUUUUCGUACUUUCCGCAGAAACUAGGUAACUUUAAUGGUGGUAAUUUGACUGGAGUUAAA